rnacentral:rRNA from 1 species
CAGUGGGGAAUCUUGCACAAUGGGGGAAACCCUGAUGCAGCGACGCCGCGUGAGUGAUGAAGCCCUUCGGGGUGUAAAGCUCUUUCGGCAGGGACGAUAAUGACGGUACCUGCAGAAGAAGCUGCGGCUAACUACGUGCCAGCAGCCGCGGUAAUACGUAGGCAGCAAGCGUUGUUCGGAAUUACUGGGCGUAAAGAGUGCGUAGGCGGUUUGGCAAGUUUGGUGUGAAAUCUCCCGGCUUAACUGGGAGGGUGCGCCGAAAACUGCCAGGCUAGAGUGUGGGAGAGGAAAGUGGAAUUCCUGGUGUAGCGGUGAAAUGCGUAGAUAUCAGGAGGAACACCUGCGGUGUAGACGGCUUUCUGGACCACUACUGACGCUGAGGCACGGAAGCGUGGGGAGCAAACAGGAUUAGAUACCCUGGUAGUCCACGCCCUAAACGAUGCAGACUUGGUGUUGGCCCUUCAUUGGGUCAGUGCCGCAGCUAACGCGGUAAGUCUGCCGCCUGGGGAGUACGGUCGCAAGGCUGA